rnacentral:rRNA from 1 species
AAUCACGGUUGGACAUCGUGAGGUUAGUGCAAUGGCAUAAGCCCGCUUAACUGCGAGAAUGACGGUUCGAGCAGGUGCGAAAGCAGGUCAUAGUGAUCCGGUGGUUCUGUAUGGAAGGGCCAUCGCUCAACGGAUAAAAGGUACUCCGGGGAUAACAGGCUGAUACCGCCCAAGAGUUCAUAUCGACGGCGGUGUUUGGCACCUCGAUGUCGGCUCAUCACAUCCUGGGGCUGAAGUCGGUCCCAAGGGUAUGGCUGUUCGCCAUUUAAAGUGGUACGCGAGCUGGGUUUAGAACGUCGUGAGACAGUUCGGUCCCUAUCUGCCGUGGGCGUUGGAAGAUUGAAGGGGGCUGCUCCUAGUACGAGAGGACCGGAGUGGACGAACCUCUGGUGUUCGGGUUGUGUCGCCAGACGCAUUGCCCGGUAGCUAAGUUCGGAAUUGAUAAGCGCUGAAAGCAUCUAAGCGCGAAGCGAGCCCUGAGAUGAGUCUUCCCUGACAGUUUAACUGUCCUAAAGGGUUGUUCGAGACUAGAACGUUGAUAGGCAGGGUGUGUAAGCGUUGUGAGGCGUUGAGCUAACCUGUACUAAUUGCCCGUGAGGCUUAACCAU